GAGUGUGUUUGUGUGUGUGUAUAAUGCAGAGUGUGUUUGUGUGUGUGUAUAAUGCAGUGUGUGUUUGUGUGUGUGUAUAUAAUGCAGUGUGUGUUUGUGUGUGUAUAUAAUGCAGUGUGUGUUUGUAUGUGUGUAUAUAAUGCAGUGUGUGUUUGUAUGUGUGUAUAUAAUGCAGUGUGUGUUUGUAUGUGUGUAUAUAAUGCAGUGUGUGUUUGUAUGUGUGUAUAUAAUGCAGUGUGUGUUUGUGUGUGUGUAUAUAAUGCAGUGUGUGUAUAAAAUUAUAAAAAUCACAGAAUUUCAUAGCCCCAAGUUUUACCCACAACUUAUCCACGAGGCAUAGCAUAUUUCACAAUUAUUGGUCACAAAACUGCACCAGGAGUAACCUGGUCGGUCAUUUGGUGUCUAUGAAAAAGGAAAAUACAUUGAUUUUUAACAUUAGCAUGUUAAUUAUUUUACGUGACACUUUAAAAAAAACAAAAAAACAAUUAAAGAAGAAAUCUACCAGAGAAGAAAUCACAGCGAAAACAACACACAACAGAAUCGCUUAGAGAUAUUUCAUAGUGAACACACUCGGUGACACAACACAGUCAUUAUUAUACGUAAAGUUCCAACCUCACUACUAUUAAUGCAUAGUACAUUUACUCAAGUAAUACUGCAUAGCAGAAUGAAGACAUUCUGUAGCAAUGUGAGGCUGGAAAUGGAAGGUGAAAACCUGCUGAAGCUGGACACCUGAGUGGGCAUUCUAUGAAGGAAAAGCACGCACACAGCGACAUGCCAGUGGUAGGGGUGCAGUGGCACUUAGUGAUAUUCCAGUGCCAGGGGUGCACUCAAACGGUGACAUGCUAGUAGCAGGAUAUCCCCACUUAGUGAUAUUCCUGUGGCAGGGGUGCACUCGCACGGUGACAUGCCAGUGGCAGAAUAUCCUCACUCAGUCAUAUUCCAGUGGCAGGGGUGCGCUCUCAGCGGCGGGGCAUGGCAGAGCGCACUCAGCGACGGGGCAUGGCAGGGCACACUCAGCGACAGGGCAUGGCAGGGCGCACUCACUCAGUGGCAGGGCGCACUCACUCAGUGGCAGGGCAUGGCAGGGCGCACUCGCUCGGUGGCAGGGCGCACUCGCUCGGUGGCAGGGCGCACUCGCUCGGUGGCAGGGCGCACUCGCUCGGUGGCAGGGCGCACUCGCUCGGUGGCAGGGCGCACUCGCUCGGUGGCAGGGCGCACUCACUCAGUGACAGGGCAUUGCAGGGUGCACUCACUCAGUGACAGGGUGCACUCACUCAGUGACAGGGCAUGGCAGGGUGCACUCACUCAGUGACAGGGUGCACUCACUCAGUGACAGGGUAUGGCAGGGUGCACUCAC